rnacentral:lncRNA from 1 species
GAAAUGCAUACUUCCCAGCCAGGACUGGAUCAGGAGGCUGAGGGGCCAGCUAUUGCCAAAAGCAUGCACAGUGAGAAUAUGUUAUCUCCCCCGUUUCUUGGGAACAUGGAUCUUUCCUCCGUGACCUGGCAUUACUGCUGACUACAAUACAGGUAAUGCGCCUGUGCAAUUUUCUAACUGUGGGUCCAGUUUUCAGUCAGGAUGUUGACUCUCGUGUUUUC